UACAGAGGUCUCAAGCGUUGUUCGGAUUCAUUGGGCGUAAAGGGUGCGUAGGUGGCGGGGUAAGUCAGGUGUGAAAUCUCGAGGCUCAACCUCGAAACUGCACUUGAUACUGCCUUGCUUGAGUACUGGAGAGGAGAUUGGAAUUUACGGUGUAGCAGUGAAAUGCGUAGAUAUCGUAAGGAAGACCAGUGGCGAAGGCGAAUCUCUGGACAGUUACUGACACUGAGGCACGAAGGCCAGGGGAGCAAACGGG
rnacentral:rRNA from 1 species